rnacentral:rRNA from 1 species
UACGGGGGGGGCAAGCGUUGUUCGGAAUUACUGGGCGUAAAGGGCUCGUAGGCGGCCAACUAAGUCGGAUGUGAAAUCCCCAGGCUUAACCUGGGAACUGCAUCCGAUACUGGAUGGCUUGAAUCCGGGAGAGGGAUGCGGAAUUCCAGGUGUAGCGGUGAAAUGCGUAGAUAUCGAGAGGAACACCUGCGGCGAAGGCGGGUUGCUGGGCUGACACGUGACGCUGACAGCGCGAAAGCUAGGGGAGCGAACGGG